GACGAACGCUGGCGGCGUGCCUAACACAUGCAAGUCGAACGGGUUUUGCACUUAGCACUUAAUGUUCUUAGGAGGAAGCCUGGAUAGUUGGCCGCAGCGUUAACUGCGAACAAAGUUCGCACAACGCUUAUUAGGAAAGCCGACCCAAGAAGCAGAGCGCUUCCAGGUGCCGAGUGGUAAAGCAAAGGAGUUAUGGCGUAACGAACUUUGUCGCACAACGCCAAACAAAAAAGCCAACACAUGCAAGGGGAAAGAACAUUAAGUGCUGAGUGCAAAACUAGUGGCGGACGGGUGAGUAACGCGUGGGCAACCUACCCAUAAGAGGGGGAUAACAGCUGGAAACGGCUGCUAAUACCGCAUAAGCUUACCGGGACACAUGUAUUGGUAAGUAAAGGAGGCUUAGGCUUUCGCUUAUGGAUGGGCCCGCGUCUGAUUAGCUAGUUGGUAGGGUAACGGCCUACCAAAGGCGACGAUCAGUAGCCGGCCUGAGAGGGUGGACGGCCACACUGGGGACUGAGACACC
rnacentral:rRNA from 1 species